CAUCGCUCUCACCUGCCCAAGUCUCGGGGCCGUUGACAUGACGCCGGAGAGAGCUCUGAGCGAGGUGGAGAUGGUAGAGACCACCGUCUACAUCUCCAACGGGAAGGCGCAUCUUACUACCCAGCAGAAAGAAGAAAACCUCUCUGGGCCAGGACAGCCCAGGCACUGAGAAGCCUCCAUAUUUUGGACGCCCAGCUCCUCCAAUGGACUCCUCGGUUAUUACAGCCCCUCCAAACUACUCCUUUUCCCUAUAAUAGCCCGUUUGGCUGGUCUGUGCCUAAGCCCGUUUGCUUGUUUCUGUUUUGCUGCAACAUUAAUAAUAACAAUAUAAACACCUGUG